CCGAGUUUUCUACUCAAAACCCUGCGAACCUACCUUUACGUGCUUCGGCGGCCGGCCCCCGGGGGGGGCGUCAAAAAACGGUCGCCGACAGCAUUCAAAAUCUCUGUCAGUGUAUUCUGAGUAACCAAAAAAAACAAAUCA
rnacentral:misc_RNA from 1 species